ensembl:snRNA U6 U6 spliceosomal RNA
GUGCUUGCUUUGGCAGCACAUACACUAAAAUCAGAAUAGUACAGAGAAGAUUAGCAUGGCCUCUGCAUAAGGAUGACAUGCAAAUUCAUGAAGCACUCCAUAUUUUU